AACUAUGUGUUGUUGUGUAUUACACCACCAGUCCCCCAGGGGGCAGUAGUCCUGUGAGGAGGAGGAGGAGGAGGAGGUGUCUAUAUUAACUAUGUGUUGUUGUGUAUUACACCACCAGUCCCCCAGGGGGCAGUAGUCCUGUGAGGAGGAGGAGGAGGAAGAGGAGGUGUCUAUAUUAACUAUGUGUUGUGUAUUACAUCACCAGUCCCCCAGGGGGCAGUAGUCCUGUGAGGAGGAGGAGGAGGAGGAGGUGUCUAUAUUAACUAUGUGUUGUGUAUUACACCACCAGUCCUCCAGGGGGCAGUAGUCCUGUGAGGAGGAGGAGGAGGUGUCUAUAUUAACUAUGUGUUGUUGUGUAUUACACCACCAGUCCUCCAGGGGGCAGUAGUCCUGUGUGUGGCGAUGGAUCAGAGGGCAGAGCAGAGCAGAGGAAGACUGUCGUUAAAACACUGGAGGAAUACACCAAUGACAGCUCAGCACCUGCUGACGGUCACAUAGUCCUCAUUCAGGUUCCUCGCUCCAAGUGGGAGAAGGAGGACUACGAAUCAGAGGAAGAGGAAGGAGGAAGGGUCAGGGUUCAACUCCGCCCCUUGCUCACCCCCUCUCUCCCUUUCUCCC